UGCCAGCAGCCGCGGUAAUACGGAGGGUCCAAGCGUUAUCCGGAAUCAUUGGGUUUAAAGGGUGCGCAGGCGGUUUAUUAAGUCAGUGGUGAAAUCUCGGGGCUCAACCCCGAAACUGCCAUUGAUACUGAUAAACUUGAGUUCAGUUGGAGUAGGCGGAAUGUGUAGUGUAGCGGUGAAAUGCUUAGAUAUUACACAGAACACCGAUAGCGAAGGCAGCUUACUAAACUGAUACUGUCGCUAUUGCACGUUAGAGUGUGCAUCGAACAGGAGUUGAUA
rnacentral:rRNA from 1 species